rnacentral:rRNA from 1 species
AUUGAACGCUGGCGGCAUGCCUUACACAUGCAAGUCGAACGGCAGCACGGGAGCAAUCCUGGUGGCGAGUGGCGAACGGGUGAGUAAUACAUCGGAACGUGCCCAGUCGUGGGGAUAACGUAGCGAAAGCUACGCUAAUACCGCAUACGAUCUGUGGAUGAAAGCGGGGACCUAAGGCCUGCGCGAUUGGAGCGGCCGAU